rnacentral:rRNA from 1 species
UACAGAGGGGGCAAGCGUUGUUCGGAAUUACUGGGCGUAAAGGGCGCGUAGGCGGCCCGCUAAGUCGAACGUGAAAUCCCCGGGCUCAACCCGGGAACUGCGUCCGAUACUGGUGGGCUCGAAUCCGGGAGAGGGAUGCGGAAUUCCAGGUGUAGCGGUGAAAUGCGUAGAUAUCGGGAGGAACACCUAUGGCGAAGGCAGCUCGCUGGGACGUUACUGACGCUGAGACGCGAAAGCGUGGGGAGCAAACAGG